UUUCUGUGUCGUAGCUAACGCAUUAAGCGCCCCGCCUGGGGAGUACGGCCGCAAGGCUAAAACUCAAAGGAAUUGACGGGGGCCCGCACAAGCGGCGGAGCAUGCGGAUUAAUUCGAUGCAACGCGAAGAACCUUACCAAGGCUUGACAUACACCGGAAACGGCCAGAGAUGGUUGCCCCCUUGUGGUCGGUGUACAGGUGGUGCAUGGUUGUCGUCAGCUCGUGUCGUGAGAUGUUGGGUUAAGUCCCGCAACGAGCGCAACCCUCGUUCUAUGUUGCCAGCGCGUUAUGGCGGGGACUCAUAGGAGACUGCCGGGGUCAACUCGGAGGAAGGUGGGGAUGACGUCAAAUCAUCAUGCCCCUUAUGUCUUGGGCUUCACGCAUGCUACAAUGGCCGGUACAAAGGGCUGCGAUACCGUAAGGUGGAGCGAAUCCCAAAAAGCCGGUCUCAGUUCGGAUUGAGGUCUGCAACUCGACCUCAUGAAGUCGGAGUCGCUAGUAAUCGCAGAUCAGCAACGCUGCGGUGAAUACGUUCCCGGGCCUUGUACACACCGCCCGUCAAGUCAUGAAAGUC
rnacentral:rRNA from 2 species